GCGGGGUAGCCCAAUUGGCAGAGGCGCCGCGGUAAGACUCAGACUCUCGCUCCAGCUUCAGUAUUCGCCACCGAACGCCAGGUCGACCGAGCGCUGACGGGGACGGUCGGAUGCCAGUUCGAAUCUGGUCAGCCGCUCCA
rnacentral:tRNA from 1 species